rnacentral:misc_RNA from 1 species
AUUUCUCAACCACCCGAUCCUUGUGGAUCUCGUGGCUUGGACUUGGGAGUUGCUGGUCUUUCCAGAUCAGCUCUCCUGAAAUGCAUUAGCAGAAGUGGUCGAGGCGAGUUUUCGGCGUGCACGGCCUUUGACGUGAUAAUUCAUCGUCAUGGCUGGAGCGUCUUUGGACUACGUAUUAGACUUUCUUUGCUUCCAACGAAAACCCAGUCAAGCUUAGC